UAUGGAACACUGAGAAGAGAGAAUGUGACCAGGACAUCUGUGAUCUCCAAAUGUCUGAAAGGCUUCAUUCCAAACAGCAGUGACAGUCAUUCUGAGAGGCCCCCCAGGUCCCUGAAUUAAUAGAAGGCGGAGGGAGCAGAUUUUCACGAUGUCAACUUAAAAUCCCAUGCAUUAUGUAUUUACUGAGCACCUACAAUGUGCUUGUUACUGUGAUCGGCACUUAAGAUAGCGCAAAACCAUUAUGGCGCCGGCCCUUAUGAAACUUACAGAAGUCAGCAGUGCUGUGUGUCUCCUAGCCUCUAAGAAGGAAGGUAGUCCAGCCUGCAGAUGAGAGCUCCUCUACAUAUAGCAGAAGAUACUGCAGCUUGCAACUUUGCAGAUACCAGCAGAGGAAGAAAAACAUGGGAGACUGCUGAUAACCUAACGUGGAGAAUUAAACUCCAACUAGACAAAGGCAGAAUCUUAAUAUGGAGUGGCCUGGCUCUGCAGGGAGGUCACCUGGCUGGCGGGAUUUCAAUCCAAUAACACGAGAAAGUUAUGACCUGAGUUUUGUCGAUGCUGAGCCUUCUGCUCUCAGGGAUUACAAAGCAUUUGUUAAACUCUGCCCUGUUCCAUUGUUGACUGUCUUCCUAGUGCUUAUCUCAAUCUGCAAUUAUUUCAGUUAUUUGUUAGUUUACUUAUUAUCUGCCCCUCUUGCCCCCCAUCGCUGAGUGUAAACUGCAGGAGGGCAGGGGCUUUGCUUGGUAUGCAUGUAUGUCCAGUGCAUAGAGCAGAGCCUGGUUCACAGUAGGCGCUCAGUAAACAUGUGCUGAACGUGAGGAAGUCUGGGAUCCCUAGGAUUCGUCUUGGGGAAAGGGUUGGCAUGAUGGUAUGAAUCCAUCCCUUUUAGUGCCAGAUAAGUGACCAGAGCAGAGCUCAGAUUAUCUGGAUGAUAAUGUGGAUCUAAACAGGAAGCUGUGUGGCCUGCUGGUUACGAAUACUGGCAAGUGAGCCAGAGAGACAGGCAGAACAGGGGCUGAGGCCUGGCUUUGCCAUUUUCCAGCUUCCCAGAGCCUGUGUUCCUUCAUCUGAAUAUGGAGAUAAUAACAACUACCCCCAUGAGGCUGUUGAAAAUAAGAUAAUACAAGUAAAGCAUUUAACACAGUGCUUGUAUCAUAAAAGUCCUCAAUAAACGUUCCAUAUUAGUUUUUAAAUGAUGUAACUUGUGGGUACGUUGCCGAGUCUGGGGAAGCUAGGGUUGGUUAAAACUUCCUGCUGCGGUUUGCUUGUUACUUCCUCUUGGGAAGCCAUCCCUGAUCCACUCAGGCUAGGGGAUAUCUCUUCCUCUGGAAUGCCAUCGGACCUGGACAUUCCUCCAUCUUCUCACUUAACCCAUCAGAUUAUCCUGUGUCUGUAUAUUCUACCAGACGGUCAGCGAUCCUUGAAUAUUAUGAACACAUUUAACAAUUUUCAUUCUUCCAGUAUUUAGCAAAUUAAACAGCACAUGGUAGGCGCUGGCACCAAUUCAUUUGCUGAGCUGGCCAAACAGUGAGAGCUGAGGGAGAAGAUGGCAAGUGUGAAAAGACCAAAGCUAUUUCUAACUAUAGCAGAAGGUAAAUCCCCACCUUUUUCAGUCCUAGGAAGUGGAGAAUGUUUUCCCCAAGGUAUGAGUCCUAAAGGGAUAUGGCUCCUACCUUCCAACGGAAAGACUUAUCUUUUCCAGGGAAGAAAGGAGUAAUGGAAGCUUGAAUGCUGGGAAAUUUCCUCAGCAAUUGAGGAAAGGGUGUGUCCUCUGCCACUUGGUGGUGACCAGUUGGG